CCUACGGGAGGCAGCAGUGAGGAAUAUUGGUCAAUGGGCGCGAGCCUGAACCAGCCAAGUAGCGUGAAGGAUGACUGCCCUAUGGGUUGUAAACUUCUUUUAUACAGGAAUAAAGUGAGGCACGCGUGCCUUUCUGUAAGUAUUUUAUGAAUAAGGAUCGGCUAACUCCGUGCCAGCAGCCGCGGUAAUACGGAGGAUUCGAGCGUUAUCCGGAUUUAUUGGGUUUAAAGGGAGCGUAGGUGGGUUGUUAAGUCAGUUGUGAAAGUUUGAGGCUCAACCGUGAAAUUGCAUUUGAUACUGGCAGCCUUGAGUACAGUUGAGGUAGGCGGAAUUCAUGGUGUAGCGGUGAAAUGCUUAGAUAUCACGAAGAACUCCGAUUGCGAAGGCAGCCUACUAAGCUGCCACUGACAUUGAGGCACGAAAGUGUGGGUAUCAAACAGGAUUAGAUACCCGUGUAGUC
rnacentral:rRNA from 1 species